UACGAAGGGGGCUAGCGUUACUCGGAUUGACUGGGCGUAAAGCGCACGUAGGCGGCGAUUUAAGUCAGGGGUGAAAGCCCGGUGCUCAACACCGGAACUGCCUUUGAGACUGGAUUGCUUGAAUCACGGAGAGGUGGGUGGAAUUCCGAGUGUAGAGGUGAAAUUCGUAGAUAUUCGGAAGAACACCAGUGGCGAAGGCGGCCCACUGGACGUGUAUUGACGCUGAGGUGGCGAAA
rnacentral:rRNA from 1 species